rnacentral:lncRNA from 1 species
UUUCUGGUGAUAAGAUGGCUGUGGAUGCGGCAAAAGUACUUCAAGAGAGAGUGUUCGGAAUCCCACAUCGACCACUUCAAGAAAGGAGGAGAAAGGAGCUGUGUAUAAAACAAACAGCACAACACAGACCAAAGCAUACCUUUCUCGGCCUUUUGGCUAAGAUCAAGUGUAGUAUCUGUUCUUAUCAGUUUAAUAUCUGAUACGUGGGCCAAUGGCCCACAUGAUAUUAAAUUAAUUUCUUUAAGGGGAGGGCCCAACACAGUAGCUUGCUACUGGGGUUCUCAAGCGUCGCCCAAGCGUUGCACUAUUGCAUGGGCCUGGCGCACCCUACCAAAACAAGUUUAAGCUUUUAUGGCCUAGCCAAAAAUGUUGUUCAUAAUUUAUGUCGUUGCUUAGCCCAAACCGCUAAAAAAAAAUUAUUAAAUUAAAAAAAUAAAUAGCAGAUACCCCAACAUCUCCUCUUUUUUUAAUUUCCC